ACAUUUUUUAAACAUCUUAAUGAUCUUUUGCCAGCUUCAUCCCUCUUCCCCUCCUGCUUGAGCUCUGCAAACUUUUGCUUUCGAGCUGUUCUAACACUCAAAGGACGGAUUACUGUGGAGGGAUCAGAGGGUCUGCUCUGAAAGGGCAGCACCUCACUCAGCUGAGGAGUUCUGUGCGGCCAGAAGGAGAUACCUGAACAGGCUGAGAGAGAGUGAAAAAAAUGAACUCCUGGUGCAGAAUGGGCUACCAGAGGCUGCAGAAAGACAGAAACAAGUGGAAGAGCAGCCCUGUCUGCAGCCUGGUGUGUGCCCUCCUCUGAGAAGAUUGUGUCCCUCAGCAAAAACACUCACCUGGUGAUGUAUUUCUGCUGGGGUGAUGAACUGAGCCAGCUCCCAGCAGAGGAAAAGCUGGGAACGAGGGCAGGGAGGGGAGGACCCUGAUAUUUUGGCUGUGAGAGCAGCUCAGCCACCACGAGUGACCUCUUCCAGCUCCCAGCUGGACUCUGGCAGCGCUGGCCCUGUGCUCCCCCAUGGAGCAGCUUCCAGCUCAGUUAUAAAAUAACCCAGACUGACCCCUGCUCUGGUGGCCAUCUCCUGCAGGAUCACGAUCACCUGCC
rnacentral:lncRNA from 12 species